rnacentral:rRNA from 1 species
GUGGAUUAGAUACCCUGGUAGUCCUGACAGUAAACGGUGCACGUUUGGUGUGGGAGGAUUCGACCCCUUCUGCGCCGGAGCUAACGCGUUAAACGUGCCGCCUGGGGAGUACGGUCGCAAGAUUAAAACUCAAAGAAAUUGACGGGGGCCCGCACAAGCGGUGGAGUAUGUGGCUCAAUUCGAUGCAACGCGAAGAACCUUACCAGGCCUUGACAUGCAUCUCUAAGUUGGUGAAAGCCAGCGAGUCCCGAAAGGGACAAUUUGCACAGGUGCUGCACGGCUGUCGACAGCU